rnacentral:rRNA from 1 species
GAAACUGCGAAUGGCUCAUUAAAACAGUUAUAGUUUAUUUGAUAGUGCACAUUACAUGGAUAACCGUGGUAAUUCUAGAGCUAAUACAUGCGCAAAUACCUGACUCACGAAAGGUAGCAUUUAUUAGAUUUAACCAUCAUAUGGUGAAUCAUAGUAACUUGGCGGACCGCGCUCCGGCGUGGUAAAUCAUUCAAGUUUCUGCCCUAUCAGCUUUCGAUGGUAGUGUAUUGGACUACCAUGGCAGUCACGGGUAACGGAGAAUUAGGGUUCGAUUCCGGAGAGGGAGCCUGAGAAACGGCUACCACAUCUAAGGAAGGCAGCAGGCGCGUAAAUUACCCAAUCCCAAUUCGGGGAGGUAGUGACAAGAAAUAACAACCUGAGUGGUUCGCCACUUCGGGAUUGCAAUGAGAUAAGUCUAAAUCCGUAAGCGAUUACCAAUUGGAGGGCAAGUCUGGUGCCAGCAGCCGCGGUAAUUCCAGCUCCAAUAGCGUAUACUUAAGUUGUUGCAGUUAAAAAGCUCGUAGUUGAAAAUCGAAUCAGCUUCAUUAUGGCUUCGGUCAUACUUGUUAGCUGGUUCUCCGUCUACAAACCAUUUUGCUCUUUUACGAGUGCAGCUUGGAGAGUAGACAAUUUACCUUGAAAAAAUUAGAGUGUUCCAGGCAGGUCUUCGCCGGAAUACAUUAGCAUGGAAUAAUGGAAUAGGACUAUGGUCUUUUGUUGGUUUUAGGGCCAGUGUAAUGAUUAAUAGGGACAGAUGGGGGCAUUAGUAUUUAAUUGUCAGAGGUGAAAUUCUUGGAUUUAUUAAAGACUAACUUAUGCGAAAGCAUUUGCCAAGGAUGUUUUCAUUAAUCAAGAACGAAAGUUAGGGGAUCAAAGACGAUCAGAUACCGUCGUAGUCUUAACUAUAAACUAUACCGACUCGAGAUCGGAAGGUGUACUAUAAGGCCCUUUCGGCAUCGUAAGAGAAAUCAAAGUCUUUGGGUUCUGGGGGGAGUAUGGUCGCAAGGCUGAAACUUAAAGGAAUUGACGGAAGGGCACCACCAGGAGUGGAGCCUGCGGCUUAAUUUGACUCAACACGGGGAAACUUACCAGGUCAAAACAUGGAUGGGAUUGACAGAUUGAAAGCUCUUUCUUGAUUCUAUGGGUGGUGGUGCAUGGCCGUUCUUAGUUGGUGGAGUGAUUUGUCUGGUUAAUUCCGAUAACGAACGAGACCUUAACCUGCUAACUAGUUUGUACCUAAAAAAGGUAUAUAUCUUCUUAGAGGGACUAUGUAUGUUAAAUGCAUGGAAGUUUAAGGCAAUAACAGGUCUGUGAUGCCCCUAGAUGUCCUGGGCCGCACGCGCGCUACACUGACACGUUCAGCGAGUUUAAUCUCCUAUCUCGAAAGGGUAUGGGAAAUCUUGUUAGGACGUGUCGUGCUGGGGAUAGAUCUUUGCAAUUAUAGAUCUUGAACGAGGAAUUCCUUGUAAGCACAGGUCAUCAGCCUGUGCUGAAUACGUCCCUGCCCUUUGUACACACCGCCCGUCGCUCCUACCGAUUUCGAGUGAUGUGGUGAACUAUCUGGACUGUGGACGGGCUCGAACCGUUCGCGGGAAGUUUCGUAAACCUUAUCACUUAGAGGAAGGAGAAGUCGUAACAAGGUUUCCGUAGGUGAACCUGCGGAAGGAUCA